rnacentral:rRNA from 1 species
GCGUGGAUGAUGUGGAUUAAUUCGAUGCAACGCGAAAACCUUACCUACCCUUGACAUGUCCGGAAUCCCGAAGAGAUUUGGGAGUGCUCGCAAGAGAACCGGAACACAGGUGCUGCAUGGCUGUCGUCAGCUCGUGUCGUGAGAUGUUGGGUUAAGUCCCGCAACGAGCGCAACCCUAUUGUUAGUUGCCAUCAUUCAGUUGGGCACUCUAGCGAGACUGCCGGUAAUAAACCGGAGGAAGGUGGGGAUGACGUCAAAUCAUCAUGCCCCUUAUGACCUGGGUUACACACGUGCUACAAUGGAUGGUACAAAGGGUCGCCAACCCGCGAGGGGGAGCCAAUCCCAUAAAGCCAUUCGUAGUCCGGAUCGCAGUCUGCAACUCGACUGCGUGAAGUCGGAAUCGCUAGUAAUCGUGGAUCAGAAUGUCACGGUGAAUACGUUCCCGGGUCUU